rnacentral:rRNA from 1 species
GAAGGAAUAUUGCACAAUGGGCGAAAGCCUGAUGCAGCGACGCCGCGUGGGUGAAGAAGGUUUUCGGAUCGUAAAACCCUUUUCUGUGUGACGAGAGAGGACGGUAGCACAGGAAUAAGUCUCGGCUAACUACGUGCCAGCAGCCGCGGUAAAACGUAGGAGACAAACGUUAUCCGGAGUUACUGGGCGUAAAGGGCGUGCAGGCGGCAGCCUAAGUCUGGCGUGAAAUAUCCUGGCUUAACCGGGAGAGGUCGUCGGAUACUGGGCAGCUAGAGGGCGGUAGAGGCGUGUGGAAUUCCGGGUGUAGUGGUGAAAUGCGUAGAGAUCCGGAGGAACACCAGUGGCGAAGGCGACACGCUGGGCCGCACCUGACGCUAAGACGCGACAGCAUGGGGAGCGAAC